AUUGGAAACCCUAGAGUGUGCCUA
rnacentral:siRNA from 1 species